UACGUAGGCGGAAAAUUAAGUCAGUGGUGAAAUCUCUCGGCUCAACCGGGAAACUGCCAUUGAUACUGUUAGUCUUGAGUUCGGUUGAGGUAGGCGGAAUGUGUAAUGUAGCGGUGAAAUGCUUAGAUAUUACACAGAACACCAAUUGCGUAGGCAGCUUACUAGACCGACACUGACGCUGAGGCACGAAAGCGUGGGGAGCAAACAGGAUUAGAUACCCUGGUAGUCC
rnacentral:rRNA from 1 species